rnacentral:rRNA from 1 species
CCUGAGCCUUGUACACACCGCCCGUCAAGUCAUGGGAGCUGGGAGUACCCGAAGUCCGUUUAGCUAACCGCAAGGGGGCGACGGCCGACGGUAAGACCGGUGACUGGGACU